rnacentral:rRNA from 1 species
GUUUAUUUGAUAAUACUUUACUACUUGGAUAACCGUGGUAAUUCUAGAGCUAAUACAUGCUGAAAAUCCCGACUUCGGAAGGGAUGUAUUUAUUAGAUUAAAAACCAAUGCCCCUCGGGGCUCUCUGGUGAAUCAUGAUAACUAGUCGAAUCGACAGGCCUUGUGCCGGCGAUGGCUCAUUCAAAUUUCUUCCCUAUCAACUUUCGAUGUUUGGGUAUUGGCCAAACAUGGUGGCAACGGGUAACGGAGGGUUAGGGCUCGACCCCGGAGAAGGAGCCUGAGAAACGGCUACUACAUCCAAGGAAGGCAGCAGGCGCGCAAAUUACCCAAUCCCGACACGGGGAGGUAGUGACAAUAAAUACUGAUACAGGGCUCUUUUGGGUCUUGUAAUCGGAAUGAGUACAAUUUAAAUCCCUUAACGAGGAACAAUUGGAGGGCAAGUCUGGUGCCAGCAGCCGCGGUAAUUCCAGCUCCAAUAGCGUAUAUUAAAGUUGUUGUGGUUAAAAAGCUCGUAGUUGAACCUUGGGCCUGGCUGGCCGGUCCGCCUCACCGCGUGCACUGGUCCGGCCGGGCCUUUCCCUCUGCGGAACCCCAUGCCCUUCACUGGGUGUGGCGGGGAAACAGGACUUUUACUUUGAAAAAAUUAGAGUGCUCAGGCAGGCCUAUGCUCNAAUACAUUAGCAUGGAAUAAUAGAAUAGGNACGUGUGGGUUCUAUUUUGUUGGGUUUCNAGGACCGCCGGUANUGAUUAAUAGGGGACAGUCGGGGGGCAUCAAGUAUUCAAUUGUCNNAAGGUGAAAUUCCUUGGNAUUUUNUUGNAAGACUUAACUACUGGC